rnacentral:rRNA from 1 species
AUUGAACGCUGGCGGCAUGCUUUACACAUGCAAGUCGAACGGCAGCGCGGGCUUCGGCCUGGCGGCGAGUGGCGAACGGGCGAGUAAUGCAUCGGAACGUGCCCAGUAGUGGGGGAUAGCCCGGCGAAAGCCGGCUUAAUACCGCAUACGACCUGAGGGUGAAAGCGGGGGACCGAAAGGCCUAGCGCUAUUGGAGCGGCCGAUGUCGGAUUAGCUAGUUGGUGGGGUAAAGGCUUACCAAGGCGACGAUCCGUAGCUGGUCUGAGAGGACGACCAGCCACACUGGGACUGAGACACGGCCCAGACUCCUACGGGAGGCAGCAGUGGGGAAUUUUGGACAAUGGGGGCAACCCUGAUCCAGCCAUGCCGCGUGCGGGAAGAAGGCCUUCGGGUUGUAAACCGCUUUUGUUCGGGAAGAAAUCCUCUGGGCUAAUACCCCGGGGGGAUGACGGUACCGGAAGAAUAAGCACCGGCUAACUACGUG